UAACUUCAUGAAGGGUAUUUAUCAGAAAUCCUGUAUCAAACAUCAUAAUGGUAAAAAUAUUAGAAACCAGAACCGACUAACAGAUAUUGUUCACUAUUGUCUCAAUUAGUCCACGUCGAUAGUCCCUGGUCAGUAGAGUGCGACCAAGAGAAGAAAUGAGGGAAAGAAGGGGUAAACUCUGCCGUCAUUUGCAGGUGGAGCUAUGUAGAAGACCCCCUUCCCAGCCGGGGGCCCUCCCAGCACCUCCCCCCAUGCAGGCGCAGUAUCAGAAUCUCCAGGAGGGGGAGUGAGAGGAGAGAUGCCAAGUUUCAGCCGCAGGAUUUUAAAAGCUCCCCCUGGAGCUGCAGGACCAGAAGGCCGGAAAAAGGAUUGGCAGGAAGAAGAUUUUCUUCUCUUUGCUCCCUGGAAUUCUACCUGUAUCUUGAAAUUCUUGCCAAAGCCCCCAGCCUAAGGCGUUGCAUGAUUUAAAUAUCAAUUGAAUUUCAACCGGAAACACUGUGAAUUUUAUAAAUGGAAGCCACGCCUCAGCUCUUCUCCUGAUUCCCUAG